UACGUAGGGUGCGAGCGUUGUCCGGAAUUAUUGGGCGUAAAGAGCUCGUAGGCGGCCUGUCGCGUCUGCUGUGAAAUCCCGGGGCUUAACCCCGGGCGUGCAGUGGAUACGGGCUGGCUGGAGGCAGGCAGGGGAGAACGGAAUUCCCGGUGUAGCGGUGAAAUGCGCAGAUAUCGGGAGGAACACCGGUGGCGAAGGCGGCGCUCUGGAACAUUUCUGACGCUGAGGCUCGAAAGCGUGGGGAGCAAACAGG
rnacentral:rRNA from 1 species